rnacentral:piRNA from 1 species
UUAUGUAUAGGCAUAAGAUGGUAAAU